rnacentral:snRNA from 1 species
GUACUUACUUCAUCAGCUCACAUAUAAAAGUUGAACUAUAGAAAGAUUAGCAUUGUCCCUGUGCAAGGAAAAUCCACAAAUUCACAAGGCAUGCCACAUUAAA